rnacentral:lncRNA from 1 species
CGCUUGAAGAUGGCCCAUUUACGAAAGAAUAGGCCCCAUACCGUGGGAAGUAAGAGCUUCAGUUGCGGCGACGCUAUAAUGCGAAGGUUAUGUGCAGAGGUUAUUUGCGAGGGCAUUCACUGGGCCGUUAGAUUGAUCAAAUGGCUAACAUUAGUAAGUUACAUCCGGGUUUCUUUUAUCUAGUAGAAAAAUCACAACCCGCGAGUGAGCUUCAAUUUCAUCUUCUCCCUUGUCCUUCUUUAUCUCUCCUAUCCUUAUCUCUCUAUGCGACAGCCAACAACCUCACAUCCGGCACCCUCUCUCUACCUCUUCUCCCACCACCCAACCCUUCUCUUUCUCUCUCUUCUCUCCUUCUCUCUUUGACAUCCACGAAAUUGAAGUUCCAGAUCUGGGUUUUUCUUUCUUCUUUUAACUAGACUGACAUACCCAAAAUUGAAUUUGAUCUAGGUUGGGUUUCAGGUGGGUGUGGGGUGGGAUGGUCGUGGUGGAAGGGUGGCUAGCAGGCUAGGGUAGUUAGAAUCAAGGGGAGGUAGUGGGCUGGGAUGAAUGAAUUUCCUCCCCCUUUUUUUUUUCUAAUAUUUCUUUUAUUUUAUUUUUUUUACAGAUUCCAAUUUUCUACAAAAUUUUACAAAGAAAUGUUCAUGUACCCUUUUCAUCAUGAACUGCCCACAGAUUUUAGAUUGAUAAUCAUACCCACUUUCUCUAUUUUGAUUUUUUCCUCCUAAUUCUUUUUUUUUUAUAAAUGAAAUUUGAAAAAGCCUUCUUUCUGGGUUUGGGUUUUAGCCAUAUUUGUAUUUUAUUCUUUAGGUGGGACAAGAUAAUAUUCCAAGAUAUGCAUAUCGAGGAAUGCAACUUAAUCUGGAAGAUCUCUGAAGGCAUAAGAAGUAAGAAAAGAAGCAUCAUGUGAUUCAAUUUGGGGUGGUUGUACUGAUAAGAGUGGGGUUGGCAGCACUACUUGGGGAUGGGUGGUUUUGAUUUAAAAUAAGAAAGAAAAAGGGGUGGGGCAGGUUCACUGGGUUUUUUUUUUAGGAAGAGAGAGUGAGAAGUGAGUUGGGGUGGGCGAAGAGGGAGAGAGAGAGAGAGAGAGAGAUGUAGGUUUUUUUUUCUUUUAUUUUUUAAUUUUUAAAAAUAAUAUUUUAGCUCGUAAUACAAUUUUUAAAUUCUAAAUUAUGUUUAAAAUAUAUUUUUUCCAUUUAAAUCCAUGUGACAUUGCAAAAUAAUAGUCAUUUAGGGUAAAAAACAAUAUAAUAAUAAAAUAAAAUUUUGGUACAGAGGACAAUAUAAUAAUAAUUUAAAAUAAAAGGAAAUAUAAUAAUAGUUUAGGAUAAAAGGAAAUAUAAUAACAAUUUAGGGUAAAAACUAAUAUAAUAAUAAUCUAGGGUAAAUAAUAAUAGUUUAUGGUCAAAAGGAAUAUAAUGAUAAUUUAGGGUAAAAUACAAUAUAAUAAUAAUUUAGGGUAAAUAAUAAUAUAAUAAUAAUAAUUUAUGGUUAAUAAUAAUAUAAUAAUAAUUCACGGUCCAAAACAAUGUAAUAAUAAUUUAUGGUAAAUAACAAUACAAUAAUAUUGACAUGUGGCGCAAUCGUUGGGCACCACCUGUCGAAAACAAUGACAACUCUCCUUUUUGGAACUGCCACGUGUGAUUCUCUAUAAUUUAAUAAAUUUUUUUUUAGAUUUAACUUCUAAAAUUCAUAAUAAAUUAAUUAAAAUUUUAAAAAAUGCAUCAAAAAGUCCUAUGAACUCCUUGUGGCAUUCUCUACACCCUCAAGCUCGGGAAAUAUAACUUGUACUUAUAAAAAUAUAAAUUGAUAACAAAAACUCAACUUUAUUUAUAAACAAUUUAAAACACUGGUUGUUGUUUCAUAACAUAACACUCAAGCUAUUUGUAACAUCC